CUGAUGCCGGGCUCUAACCCAUGAACCGUGAACUGUGAGACCAUGAGCUGAGCUGAGGUCAAGAGCUGGAUGUUUAGCCAACUGAGCCACCAAGGCACCCCUCAAGGGAGGUUUUGAGGGAAGACUGAAGUUCUGUGAGAACACGCGUGGGCUCAGAGCGAUGCUCAUUGGGCAUUAAUACUAACAUGAACGUCAUAUACUCUCACAACUCCCUUUAGACAGAAGGGAAUGUGACUUCUUUAGAAUGAGGGAUAGACCUGGGUGUAGCCAGUGGGAGGACGUGGGAUGCGGGAGGAGGCCAGAAGACCCCUUUCUCCAUGCACACAUACCCCUGAAUCAGGCUGGUCCCCAAGGUCACUACUGGAAGGAGGCUGUGCUCUUAUCCCUACACAUUCCUGCAUGCCUCUCACUGCUCUGGAUGCUAAGCACCUUCCCAAAGGGAAAAUGUCUCUGUUGUUUUAAAUAUUUAUCCAGGUUUCCAGAGCUAUUGACCCUGAACUUCCUGCUCCUGAGGGAUCUAUACCAAUUUGGUUUGUUUACAUGCUGUUUUAUUGUAGAGACGUUUGGUUGUAGACUGGUGACAGCAUGGGGUAGGUGCUACCAGGAGACUUAGGUACACACGCCUCAUUUAGAUGAGCACAGGAUAAUUUUUUGAGACCUCUUCAUAUGAAAAAAAAAAAAAGAAGAGUCACAGGGGAAAGAACAUGGGUCUUGAAGUCAGAAAACCAAGUUGAAUGGCUCUGCCAUUUCUAGCUAUAUGUUUUGGUGUAAGUCAUUCAAACCGAAUGUCAGUUUCACCCGUCUCCAUUCCAAAGUCUGUGUGAGGGUCAAGUGUUUUACGUACGUAUAAUAUAUAGUGAAACAUAUAUACACAUACGCUAUAUAGUAUGUAAUAUAUGUGUGUAUUGUAUACAUGUAUAUAAUAUUUAUGCAUAUACGUUAAAAUCUUACCUAUACAUAAAAUUUGGAAGACUCUAAAGCACAGAAUAUCAUGUCUAUUUGGGAUUAUUACUUUUGAGAUAACGUGGUUCUCACGAUUCCCGUUACGUUUAGUAGCGCUGGAGCACAUUUUCGAUGACGUUUGAAUUUUAAACAAGAAGCACUGUGAUAUAAUAGCUCAGUUGUUUUAAAUGGACUGUCCCUUCUCCUCUUGGGGAAAAUGAAAGUAACAACAGAAAAUCAUCUAGUAUGCACCUCUGUUUCCAACUUCGAUUUACUAUGUAGGCACAGGAACAAAGAGAAAGGUAAGUCGAUCAGCUGUAAAGGGAACGGUGACCUUCAUUCAUUUUUACUCUCUUUUUUUGGGACUGAGGAACAAUAAUAAUAAAUUCUCCUCCCUUGCCUAUUUCAAGACAGAGCGAUUUUAAGUGUGUUUUAUGACUUCAACUUGUCUCAGACCCGUCUGCUCCGCUAGUGAUGAUGGAAUAAGCCUUGACGCCAUUAGCAUAAGUGAACAUUACUGAUGGGGUCCUAAUCAGCGCUGAUUCUCCCUUUGGCAUUGCCGUUUGGAGGGUGCAGCCAGGUGCUCUCCCAGAUGUGAAAGGGAGAGAGCCCUGCCUGCCCCCCUCCCCACCACCAUGCCAGAAUCCUCAGCUGCACACGAGUUCAUGCCUGACUGAGAACCACUCAAGUGUUCACUGAGCCCCUCACCCUGCAUCUAAUAAAAUCUCUCCCUCCCCCAGUCCUGCUCCAGGAAAACAGACACAACUGUGAGCGGGGGGAGAGCCUGUUUGUGGUCCAGAGUGUGAAGACUGGCAAUUGUGUUUCCUGAUGUCUCUGCCAAGAGACAGCAGGUCCUGCAGCCCCGGGGUCGGUCACCAGGGACAAAGUUCCAGCAUACGUACUCGGUGGUUCUGUUCUCCCUUCCUACAGAGGGGGUCCUUGCGCUGUGCAGAUUAGCUCUUUGCCUCACAGGAAGUGGGCUAGGGAAUGAAUGUGUUUGCCAGCAUGCCUGUGUGUGUUGGGUGGGGAGAGGAAGAAGGCAAACAAAGUCUCGCGAUGCCAAAUCACUGAGAGAGAAAAAGUACCCAGGGUCCACAAUUAGCUCUAGAGAGGACACCCCCAGGGAUAGAAAGCAGCAUCCAGGAGUAAGAAGACCUGAGGUUCAAUUCUAACUGGGCUGUCCCUUGGAAAUACUUAAUGAACCCUUUUAGGUCUCAGAGUCUAGAUCUGUAGAAUGGAUAACAAUGCAUGUCCUAAGACCCUUCCAGGGUUGAAGCUUUCAAUGACAGCUUGCCUUCGUACAGAAUUGUUUCAGAGUUUACGAAAUGCACUUAAAAAUAAGGUGAGCUAUGAUAUCUCUCAAAGCGUGGGCCACUGAGCCCAUGAGUCAGAAUUAACAACCAACCUCCUCUAAUAAACGUGUCAGCUAAUGGUAAGCUGACCAGAUACCCCAUUCUGGGAAUUCACCUUGGGUCAUGAGCCAUUCCAGGGCAGAUUAUGACAAGAUCUCAGUUGUCCCCAUGGAACUGCCCCAAAGAGACUGUCUUUGGGUCUCUAUCCUUCCUAAGUUUGAGGUUACAUCUUCCUUCAGUUUCAUAAGUCUCUUAGUAUUCUCUGAAUAAAUUCUCUUUCCGACUUAGGUUAUCCUCAAAUCCCAACAGGUGGAACUUCCAAGAUUUCUCAGGUAGAAAGGUUGUCCUUUGAGGACCUUAUGACUUGGCCUGCAUGGGGGAAGUUUUCCCUGUGAUCCAGGGUUUUUUUUUUUUUUUUUUUUUUUUUUACUCUGGUCUCAGUAGGAAUCAUGGCUCCCACUCUGAGAAAAAGAGAGGAGACACCGUGGAGGUCUCUGGAGAAGUCGUUAACAUCGGGGUGUAACCUUUCUGGGACGUUUAGAAAAUAGUCAUGUAAUGAUGGGGUGACGUUGGAAUUUCUUGGAACUUCUUAGGCAAGACAAGAAAGUGGUUGAGUUUGAAGGUUUUGGAACCAGUUUACCUGGCAUCACAUCCCGGCACUGCUGCUUGCUAGCUAUGUGCCGUGGAGGCCACUGUGCCUUGAUUUCCCCAACUGUAAAAUGGAGACAAGUGUAACACUGCCUCAGAGGCUGUGAGGAAGCUUCACGAGCUGGGACACAUCAUCUGCUCAGAAUGGUGCUUGGCACACAGGAAGUGCUCAAUAGUGUGAGCUAACAUUGUUCGUAUCCUGGUGCUGCUAACUCUUCUACUAUCACCAAGGGUGCAAACCCCUUGGAGAAAACCUAAAGCUGCAUUUACAGAAAAAUAAACGCAUUUUUAGAAACCCAAGAAUGGAAAGAAGGAACCAUUGCUUGCUGGUGCCUAGGAAGGUGUGCUAAGGGCAGAGUCCUCUUUGCUGGAGGAAAGGUUCCUUAUAGUGUUGACUCCGGAUUCGAUUGUUCUGUCCAAUGGAACCCAACGUUCUAUCCAAUGGUUUCUAGUUGUGCUUUCCCCCCGCUGUUAGGGAAGCACCUCUCGUGGCGCUAAGAUGGCCGAACACAGAGGUUGCAUCAUGAGAAUUUUGCUCAUCUGGGGUCCGCAGAACAAGCUUCAAGCAUACGGGAGUCUCGUGUUUCUGAGAGAAAUGGACUAACACUCAAGGCUUCAGGACACCUUAGAGGGCAUGGGGAUUUAUGACAAAUGGCACGUGGGCUCCACAACAUCUAUGUAAAACAUGUCUACUUGCCCAACAAUGACAAACUACUCACCUUGGCAAAACAGGCAUGAUAUUCAUUUGGAGGCUUGCUUCUAAGAAAGAUAAAUCCCGCUGUCAUUGCACAAAGAGAUAAGAAAGCCCGAUGACAGUUUUUCAUUGAUAAAAGAUUCUGUCUGUAUUUUAAAAGAAUUUACUUUCUUCCCCUCUACUGAUACCCACAUGAGUUAAGGCAGAGAUACACUAUCUUUCAUGUUUUUGUCAGAAUGUGUUAUUACUACGGGUGGCGGUGACUCAAUUGCUUUGUUUAGUGAUCUGACUUGAGUGCCGUGUCGCCUGUCCAUGAGCGGCAGGGCCCAAGGGACGUACAGCUUCCAGAAUUAAGAAGCAAGACCGGAAGCAUUCGUUGCUGGAGGGGCAACUAACAAAGGUUAACCUGAAAUGGGAGAGGUGAGCUGCUUAUGUGUCUUCCUGGAAAUUAAUCUUCCCUAAGAGAAGUUUUAAAAAUUUGCUGCUGACUAGGGCAUUUCUGAAAAUCUUGCUGGGAAGACACGAUUGCACCAUCAUUAAUUUAAGAUAGGCAGUAAUUAAAUUAAUUGCCACAUGAUGAUAUAACUAGGUUGAAAGGAAAGAAGGGGAUGAGAGAGUGGCCGUUUGUCAGCGUCCUGUCUACGGAGAAUGGGCAAAGCAGGAAGUUCCGCUCUUCUCCAUAUGUCUAAAUGUGGGUGAGCAGGCAGUCCUUACAGAUACUCCCAAGCAGAGAAACUUCUGAUCUGAGGUUGGUUUCCCAGGUAGACUUUUAUAUUGGGGAAGAGGGCGUACCGACCAGUUGACAUGAAUAUUCCGGUCUGCUUAUCACUCUUACUUGCUAACAGUAAGUCAAUCCUCAUAACAACCCAAAGAGGUAAGAACUUUAUUAACACCAUUUCAAGGAUUGGGAAACAAAGGCCCCAAUAUGUCAACUCAUCUUGAUAGCUUUCUGCUGAUAGGAGACUUUAUUGUCUCUGACAGAUGAAACCCUGCGGCUCAGCGCACUGUGGAUGAGAACUGCCACCCUGAGCUGCACCCCUGGCUUGCCUACCUGGUCUUAAGAAGGUACCGGAGCAGGGGCCCCGGGGUGGCUCAGGCGGUUAAGUGUCUGACUCUUGGUUUUGGCUCACGUUAUGAUCUCACAGUUUUGUGAGUUCAAGCCACGCAUCGGGCUCUGCACCAGCAGCAUGGAGCCUGCUUGUGAUUCUCUCUCUCCUAAUCUCUCUGCCCUUCCCCCACUCACACUGUCUCUAUCUCUAAAUAAAUAAACUUAACAAAAAAAGAAGAUACUGUGGCAAACUGCACUGUCCAGUAAUAUAUAGCCCCCCUCACAUGCUCUUCUAGAAUCUUACCAUUAUGGAUCAAAGGGUAGGAGGGGGGUGUUCCCUCCUCUUGAAACUGUGCAAGACUUUAGGAUUGCUUCUGAGAACCCAAGGUGGUGGAAGUAAUGCUGUAAGACUGUGAGAUGAUUCACUUUCUACCAGGUCCUCCCUCCCUGGGGACCGUUGCCCUGGGAAGCCGGCCACCAUGCCGUGAGGAAGCCCUCAAAGAGAGGCCGCAUGGAGAGGUCCCUGUGAGAUGAUUCACUUUCUACCAGGUCCUCCCUCCCUGGGGACCGUUGCCCUGGGAAGCCGGCCACCAUGCUGUGAAGAAGCCCUCAAAGAGAGACCGCAUGGAGAGGUCCCCGUGAAGGGACACUGAGGCUCCCAACUGACAGUAAGCAUCAAAUGCCAGAUGUGAGUGUGAACAAGACAUCAGAUGAUUCCAGAUCCAGCCUUCGUGUCUUUCGGUGGAGGCAGAGACAAAAAGAACUUGUUAUGUCCUAUUCUCAUCUCUGAGUAGCAGAAUCCACAGGCCAGGAGACGCCACGAUUAAUCCAUCAACAGCAAAGCAUGUGCUUUGAGUGAUUUUGCUUUUUCCAGUUGGAUCUGUUCUGUGCUACCCAACACCGGCUUGACAAAGAGGAAGGAACGGGAGAUUUUGGAGUCAGUCAGAUCCUGGUUUGAGUCCUGGUCAUGUCAUUUAUUACUUGUGUUGCUACAUCACAGUCUUCCUGAGUCUGGUCUCCAUUUCCUCACAGGUAUCCUGGGGCUAAUAAUACUGAUGAUGACUUUUUUGGAAACUGACGUAUAGAAUACCCAUAAAGAACACUGUAUGUAGUAGGUACUCAACACGCGUCAUCAGGGCAUCCACAUGCAAGAAACGGGAGACACCUUGACCAUGAGCCGCCCAUAUUCAUGAAGCCGCACAUUCAUCAUUAAUCUUGGCCUUCACAGACCUCUGCUCUAACCAACUGAGCCAGGCAUGUAUUUACCGACGAUACUGAGUUUAUACGGACUCUUGGUUCAAAGAUGUGAAUCCACAUCAGUGUUUUGUUUUGGUGGCGUUGGCAACUCCUCAGUCAGUUUGCGUCAAUCCAAUUUGCAUUUGCCAUUUUGCGACAGGGCUGGCAUCACAGAGCUUAAUUUUGGCAGGUAACUGGUGCAGUCGCCCAGUGGAGCUGCAAUUUAGUAAUGAAAAAGUGUAUCAUUUUAACUAUGAAAUUUAACACAAAGAAUACAGCUGCUCAAGCGGGCAGUGACAGCGUACGUUAAUUUGAUUUAUCUACACGCAACGUACCGUGCCUAAUGCUGAAUGCUGGAAGGCUCCGGCAGGGCUGAUACCAGCUCUGUAAAGGAGACUACCAUUCUGGGCUGACUUCCUGUGUGUCGGUGGGCCUUCUUGAAGCAAAUAAAGCUGCAAGAGCCAGUCCGUGCAAGAGAAACAAGAGGGAAUGUUCUCCUGAUUGGCCUGGAUGAAGGCUGGACUCUUCUGGAAGUAUCCGCUGUCACGUAAACAGAAUCUGUGGCGUGGGGACUGGUUUAGGGCUUCCAUUUGGCUCACGACAUGCUCUGCGUGGAGAGCAGACUGCAGUUUUCUAUGAGGACAAAAGAGAGGGAGAGACGUACCUCCCUGCUCCCAGGCCAACCGGAGUCUCUGAGAGCAAACUCUUACAUCAGCGGAUGCCCGUGUGAAAUGCACAUGGAAAUAAAAGCACAUGAGUGUGCUCUG